UAGGGAAUCUUCGGCAAUGGGGGCAACCCUGACCGAGCAACGCCGCGUGAGUGAAGAAGGUUUUCGGAUCGUAAAGCUCUGUUGUAAGAGAAGAACGUGUGUGAGAGUGGAAAGUUCACACAGUGACGGUAACUUACCAGAAAGGGACGGCUAAACUACGUGCCAG
rnacentral:rRNA from 1 species